rnacentral:rRNA from 1 species
UACGUAGGGAACAAGCGUUAUCCGGAAUUAUUGGGUGUAAAGGGUGCGUAGACGGGAAUACAAGUUGGUUGUGAAAUCCCUCGGCUUAACUGAGGAACUGCAACCAAAACUAUAUUUCUUGAGUGCAGGAGAGGAAAGCGGAAUUCCUAGUGUAGCGGUGAAAUGCGUAGAGAUUAGGAGGAACACCAGUGGCGAAGGCGGCUUUCUGGACUGUAACUGACGUUGAGGCACGAAAGUGUGGGGAGCAAACAGG